UGCACGUGUACAGAAGGCGGAAUGCAGAUGAGGCUACUGCGGGAUAUGUCCAGGAGACUCUGAAGUGCCAGGCGGGGGGGCUCUGCACACAUGAUCUUCUUGUCCCUGGAGCUGAGCAACCUCUGGCCACCCUGCUUGAUCCACGUGCCCAGCCAGUGCAGGGCACAGUCACAGCGCCAUGGGUUCUCUGUGGAAGAGUGGGAGGCAACAGGUGGCUUGGGGUUGGCCCCACAACAGCCUGUGCCCUUGAUAUUCUGCUGACCAGGGCAUGAGCCUCUUGCCCACCUCCCACAGCCUCUUCACACGAGUCUAGGAUCCCUGCCACCCCAUAUCUGACUCCAAGCUCUUUGGGGUGGAGGCAGGCCCUUCACACCUGAUGAUCUCACAGGUCACUUCUCCACUGGUCUUUGAGAAAGCACCUGCUCCUCUGGAGUGUCCCCAAACAAGUUCCACUGUUUGGGGCACUUCUGUGUCCACAUAGACACCUCACCAGCACUAAAACCAUGGAAAUGCAGAGUGCCUGAGCUGUACCCCCACCAGCACCCCAUUCCCGGCAGCCUUCCACCAUGGCUCCAGGUAGUUGUGUGGUCUUCCAGCAUGUUCCCAAUUGCUGGCUGUUAGAGCGAGCCCCUUCCACACUUCGGCCUGCUGCCUACUGCCACCUCUGUGGCCAAGGCAGACCCUUGCUGGAGGAAGAGGUACCUGUGAGGCGCAGGACUUGCAGGCUGGCCAGGGGCUGCAAGGCCUCUUGGCUGAUGGUGCCUAGCUGGUUCCUGCUGAGGUCCAGCAGUGCCAGAGAGGACAGCCCAGCCAGAGCCUGGUCCUCCAGCAGCUCAAUGUUGUUUUCUUGCAGGUGCAGCUCCUGCAGUCGCUGAAGUAGGGACAGCAGAUCGUAAGGAAAAAGUGCACUGGGAGGGGCAGGUCCCCCUUACCAAGCCUAAGUUGACUCUGCUCCCCCUAACUAUUCCAGCCAGGCAAGGCUAGUGACGGUACAAGAGGACCCCGCCCUUUUUGUCCUCUGAUGCUCACCGGCAGGUGUGAGAAGGUGAAAUCCAGUAGUUGCACCAGCUGGUUGCCGGCCAGGUAGAGUAUGCGCAGCUGGGUCAGGCCCGCGAAGGCGCCGCCAUGCAAGCCGCGUAGCCGGUUUCCGGUGAGUGCCAGCUCGAGCAGGCGCGGCUGCGCACGGAAAGCGCCGGUCUCCAGGGCGCGCAGGCUGUUGUUGUGCAGGUAGAGACGACGAAGAGCGGCAAGCGGAGCCAGGGUGCCAGGCUCCAGGCGGGAGAUGUUGUUGUCCUGCAGGAACAGCGUCUGCGGGCCGGGGGAUGUGGGGGCACUUAUCCCGCCGCCGGGGUCUCCCUUUCCCCUGGGGUCCCCGGUUUACCUACCAGGACGCUCACACAGCCCUCCCGCAGCCCGGCGCCUCCACUUGGUGCCCACCUGCGUCCCGGGCGGGAUUCCCGGCGGGACGACGUGCAGCCUCAAGGCGCCGCACUCCACCGUGGCGCUGUAGCAGCGACAGGCGGCUGGGCAGGUGGCGGCGCAGGGCGGAAACCAGAGCAGCAGCGGCGGCAGUAGCAGCAGCAGCAGCAACGCGGGAGUCCCCGGGGCCAUGUCCCAAGAGACCAGCCUCCCCAAGGUCUGGCCCGGAUAGGAUGUGCCUCCUGAAACACAGGUUGGCAGGCUAGUCCUAACAUUCAAGAGCCAGUGCAGGAGCACAAAGUGAGGCCCACACCUUUUGUCUGCCUUUUAAAAUGUUAUGUGUGCUCAAGAAACUGAUAAAUAAAAAGUUCUAUUUUCCU